rnacentral:misc_RNA from 1 species
CCCCCUUGUCACGCAAAGCGCGAUCCUCUCGCCCUUCCUCUCCAGGAGGGCGUUCGUGGCGACCGUGGUGCCCAUCCUGAUCCACUCGAUCCUGCCGGUGGGGAUCUUGGCCGACCGGGGGAUCCUCUCUCCAGAGAACUCCUCCAGGAUCCUCCUGAUCCCUUCGAUGGGCGCGUCGUCGUAGUUCGACGGGUCGACGGAGAGAAGCUUCAUGACGUAGCCUUCUCUUCUCCCGGGUACCUCGGCAUAGAUGUCAGUAAAGGUGCCGCCCCUGUCAAUGCAGAACCUGAACUUCUCCGCCGUGCUGCUGCCCAUUGCCCCGCCUCCUCCCAAGGCCAACCCUCAACUCGCGAAAAGUUGGAGUUCUCUGAAAAGAUCACGAAAGUAAGGUUGGUAUUGGUACACCUGAGAUCAAUCUACAAGUGAUGGCUUAUAGCCACGGCCCUGAGCUAUGUUCCGAAUUCAUUUAAUCUAAUCUACCGCAAAUACUGGAGAACAGUGGAUUGGAAUAGAAGGGAUAUACAGUGCAGACUAAUCGGUCUAUAGCAGAUUAGCAGGGGACGAGUGAGGAGGAGCACUUGCCUCGGUGCAAGAACAGCGGCGGCGGGGAGAGAGGAGAGGUCCCGGGGCCUCGCUCACCGUUGCUGGAGGCUGGAGCUGCUGGCCGCAAUGAAAGAGCCACACGAUGAGUCGAUGGCAGACGAAGAGGAAAAUGUGAGUUUGGAUUGUGUCUAUUGUGUUGGC